rnacentral:rRNA from 1 species
GAUGAACGCUGGCGGCGUGCCUAAUACAUGCAAGUCGAGCGAACAGACGAGGAGCUUGCUCCUCUGAUGUUAGCGGCGGACGGGUGAGUAACACGUGGAUAACCUACCUAUAAGACUGGGAUAACUUCGGGAAACCGGAGCUAAUACCGGAUAACAUGUUGAACCGCAUGGUUCAACAGUGAAAGACGGUCUUGCUGUCACUUAUAGAUGGAUCCGCGCCGCAUUAGCUAGUUGGUAAGGUAACGGCUUACCAAGGCAACGAUGCGUAGCCGACCUGAGAGGGUGAUCGGCCACACUGGAACUGAGACACGGUCCAGACUCCUACGGGAGGCAGCAGUAGGGAAUCUUCCGCAAUGGGCGAAAGCCUGACGGAGCAACACCGCGUGAGUGAAGAAGGUCUUCGGAUCGUAAAGCUCUGUUAUUAGGAAAGAACAAAUGUGUAAGUAACUAUGCACGUCUUGACGGUACCUAAUCAGAAAGCCACGGCUAACUACGUG